rnacentral:piRNA from 1 species
GAUGGGCUGGAGAGAUGGCUCAGAGGUU